AAGACGAGAAAGUGAAGGAAGACCGUUUCUACACAGGGAGGUCGGUGUACCGUGGCAGCCUGCCUGCCACCCAUCAUUAGGUUUCAAAUUUAUUGUUUGGCAUUGAAAAAUGAGAACUUUCUCACUUUAUCUGCCUAUAAAUCUCUGUGUCUGGCCUUGAUGAAACCAUGAAUGAGGAAGACGAAAUAAACAAUGAAGCAUAAUAAUAGUAAUGCUGUUGUGUUUUCGCUGCUUCUGGUGUCUAUACUUUUAUCAAUGACGAGUUCCGGCUCCCUUUUAGCUGAAGCAACAAUUCCCAACUUCUCAACCAUCCGAGAAAAUCUAGUCCGUUUAAGUUCGGCUCGUCGGAGUUUGAGGCCAGAUCUUCCAACCAACAAUCAAAGCCCAAGCCAAAACCAAAAUUGCUAUCAAAAUACUCCCGAAUCACCAUCAAGAUUAGCCCAAACCCGGGCUUAAGUGACCAUCAAGAUAAGGCUAUUAUCAAAUAAAAAGUGUUCUCGAAAAGUGUUAUAGAAAAAUGUAAUUUUGUAAUUUAAGUAUUCAUCAUUGCUGUAAAAAAAAGGUAAACUAUAAAAGUAGUCACUUUUGUUUACUCCA